AGAGUUUGAUCCUGGCUCAGAUUGAACGCUGGCGGCAGGCCUAACACAUGCAAGUCGAACGGUAACAGGAAACAGCUUGCUGUUUCGCUGACGAGUGGCGGACGGGUGAGUAAUGUCUGGGAAACUGCCUGAUGGAGGGGGAUAACUACUGGAAACGGUAGCUAAUACCGCAUAACGUCGCAAGACCAAAGAGGGGGACCUUCGGGCCUCUUGCCAUCGGAUGUGCCCAGAUGGGAUUAGCUAGUAGGUGGGGUAACGGCUCACCUAGGCGACGAUCCCUAGCUGGUCUGAGAGGAUGACCAGCCACACUGGAACUGAGACACGGUCCAGACUCCUACGGGAGGCAGCAGUGGGGAAUAUUGCACAAUGGGCGCAAGCCUGAUGCAGCCAUGCCGCGUGUAUGAAGAAGGCCUUCGGGUUGUAAAGUACUUUCAGCGGGGAGGAAGGGAGUAAAGUUAAUACCUUUGCUCAUUGACGUUACCCGCAGAAGAAGCACCGGCUAACUCCGUGCCAGCAGCCGCGGUAAUACGGAGGGUGCAAGCGUUAAUCGGAAUUACUGGGCGUAAAGCGCACGCAGGCGGUUUGUUAAGUCAGAUGUGAAAUCCCCGGGCUCAACCUGGGAACUGCAUCUGAUACUGGCAAGCUUGAGUCUCGUAGAGGGGGGUAGAAUUCCAGGUGUAGCGGUGAAAUGCGUAGAGAUCUGGAGGAAUACCGGUGGCGAAGGCGGCCCCCUGGACGAAGACUGACGCUCAGGUGCGAAAGCGCGGGGGGCAAACAGGAUUAGAUACCCUGGUAGUCC
rnacentral:rRNA from 1 species